GACGAACGCUGGCGGCAUGCCUUACACAUGCAAGUCGAACGGCAGCACGGACUUCGGUCUGGUGGCGAGUGGCGAACGGGUGAGUAAUACAUCGGAACGUGCCUAGUAGUGGGGGAUAACUACUCGAAAGAGUGGCUAAUACCGCAUGAGAUCUACGGAUGAAAGCAGGGGAUCGCAAGACCUUGUGCUACUAGAGCGGCCGAUGGCAGAUUAGGUGGUUGGUGAGGUAACGGCCCACCAAGGCGACGAUCGGUAGCCGGACUGAGAGGUUGAACGGCCACAUUGGGACUGAGACACGGCCCAG
rnacentral:rRNA from 1 species